GACGAACGCUGGCGGCGUGCUUAACACAUGCAAGUCGAACGGAAAGGCCCCUUUGGGGGUACUCGAGUGGCGAACGGGUGAGUAACACGUGAGUAACCUGCCCUUGACUUCGGGAUAACUUCAGGAAACUGGGGCUAAUACCGGAUAGGAAUCCUUGCUGCAUGGUGGGGGUUGGAAAGCUUCGGCGGUUUUGGAUGGACUCGCGGCUUAUCAGCUUGUUGGUGGGGUAGUGGCUUACCAAGGCUUUGACGGGUAGCCGGCCUGAGAGGGCGACCGGCCACAUUGGGACUGAGAUACGGCCCAGACUCCUACGGGAGGCAGCAGUGGGGAAUAUUGGACAAUGGGCGGAAGCCUGAUGCAGCAACGCCGCGUGCGGGAUGACGGCCUUCGGGUUGGAAACCGCUUUCAGCAGGGGCGAAGCUUGUGGUGACGGUACCUGCAGAAGAAGCACCGGCUAACUACGUG
rnacentral:rRNA from 1 species